UGACCUCAAAUCAGGCAAGAAUACCCGCUGAACUUAAGCAUAUCAAUAAGCGGAGGAAAAGAAACUAACAAGGAUUCCCCUAGUAACGGCGAGUGAAGAGGGAAGAGCUCAAAUUUUAAAUCCGCCUUGUUCGCAAGGCCGAGUUGUAAUUUGAAGAAGCGUUUUCUUGGGCUCGCUGCCGGUAGAAGUUCUUUGGNAACAGGACAUCAUAGAGGGUGACAAUCCCGUCUGUGACCGGUCGCGCGGUUCAUCUACGAUACGCUUUCAAAGAGUCGAGUUGUUUGGGAUUGCAGCUCCAAAUGGGUGGUAAACAUCACCUAAGGCUAAAUAUUGGCGAGAGACCGAUAGCGAACAAGUACCGUGAGGGAAAGAUGAAAAGAACUUUGAAAAGAGAGUUAAACAGUACGUGAAAUUGUUGAAAGGGAAACGAUUGAAGUCAGUCGUGCUGGCGCGAAAUCAGCUCGACCACUAGGGGAUCACGGGCCGUAGCGAGCCUCAAAACCGUUACGACUUGUGAUUGCUUAGUGGCCUGGUGCACUUUCGUGUCGGCUGGUUAACAUCAAUUUCGAUCGUCAUAAAAAGGCUGGAGGGAUGUGGCUCCUUCGGGAGUGUUAUAACCUUUGGCGGAAUGUGGUGGUCGGGAUUGAGGUUUGCAACGAAUACCUUCAGGGCUGUUCCACCUGGCCUCUCAUCGGCAUCCUGGCGACGACAGCUUGCUGACGUUGUUAGGAUCAGCCUUCGAACAGGCUAGAGUGUGAGCAAAUUCGUUAAGGAUGUUAACGUAAUGGCUUUAAACGACCCGUCUUGAAACACGGACCAAGGAG
rnacentral:rRNA from 1 species